GAUGAACGCUGGCGGCGUGCCUAAUACAUGCAAGUCGAGCGAACGGACGAGAAGCUUGCUUCUCUGAUGUUAGCGGCGGACGGGUGAGUAACACGUGGAUAACCUACCUAUAAGACUGGGAUAACUUCGGGAAACCGGAGCUAAUACCGGAUGAUAUUUUGAACCGCAGGGUUCAAAAGUGAAAGACGGUCUUGCUGUCACUUAUAGAUGGAUCCGCGCUGCAUUAGCUAGUUGGUAAGGUAACGGCUUACCAAGGAAACGGUGCAUAGCCGACCUGAGAUGGUGACCGGGCCCACGGGAACGGGGCCAACGCCCAGACCACUACGGGAGGCAGCAGUAGGGAAUCUUCAGAAAUGGGCGCAGGCCUGACGGAGCACCGCCGCGUGAGGGAUGAAGGUCUUCGGCUCGUAAAACUCUGUUAUUAGGGAAGAACAUAUGUGUAAGUAACUGUGCCCAUCUUGACGGUACCUAAUCAGAAAGCCACGGAUAACUACGUG
rnacentral:rRNA from 1 species